rnacentral:misc_RNA from 1 species
UGCAGAUCUAUAAUGUGCUUUUGGGUCAGCGACGGAUGAUCAAUGGGGAACUUCUGCCAUCAGGCUACAAUACAACUGCGAAGAAAUAAACAAAAUAGCCACAAACUAAUCUGAAAUGUCUCUCUCUCUCUCAACUGCUACUGUUUUAAAACAAGAGUUCUAAAACGUCUCCAGUGUAAUUUAAUCACCAGUAAAAGCCCUGGCAGUUUGAAACGUGACUAGUCAUUUUUUUAAACAAGCUUUCAGAC